CUCACUUCGUCGAUUGCGACGCCGAGGAAGCAGAGCGGUACAGAGGAGGACUUUAUGUGAUUGUUAUUCCAUUUUCAGGAGUCGUACCCGCUUCAAGAUGCGUCUCCAGCACCGCGGCGGCAGCAGAAGAUCCAGCGCCCUAAAUUACCCAAAGCCUUUCCACGACAGAGCCGACCCUCACACGCGAAGGGAGUGCAGCAAGACGUGAGGCGGCACCUGCGGCCACAGAGGCUUCUAGAACUCGUGGGAUUUGAGUCGACACAAGCGCGUUCACACCGGAGCCCCGUCCUCUGCUCCCGGUGCGGGAAGGCCUCCACCCAGACCAGGUUCCUCAAGCUGCACAGGCAACAGAAGGUGCGUCGUUCGAGCCGAGCGCGGCCACUCAGUACUGAUGUCAAGAAUGCGAGGAGCGCUCGGGCAGCACAAGCACGCCACCCAGCGCCAGUACCAGUACCAACGCUGCCAGUGUGAGAAGAUCUACGGCCGAGCGUUGGACCUCAAGUGGCACCAGGUGAUACACACUGGCGAGCGGCCGUUUGCGGCAAAGGAUUGACGCACGUGCGAAUCCUCGACAACAGGGCUCUCAAAUAGGGAUGUCCGAUAAUGUUUUUUUGCCGAUAUCCGAUAUUGUCCAACUCUUUAAUUACCGAUACCGAUAUCAACCGAUACCGAUAUAUGCAGUCGUGGAAUUAACACAUUAUUAUGCCUAAUUUGGACAACCAGGU